UUAAUCUUAGAUGUGAUGAGUGGUUUGUUCUAUAAAGUUCCAUAGAGGCAAGGCUUUUCCUUGCUAUUAUAUGCUUGGAUCCACUUGAUCACUGUGAAUCUCUAUAAUUAAUCAUUUCCAGAUUUCUGAGGAUGGGUUACUAUUGCUAUAAACGCAAUUAUAGUACUCAUACAUCAGAUGUUAUUGUGAUGUUGGCGGUGGCCUUGAUGCUUCUUGGCAUACCUUGGCUCUUUACGCGUGAACAAGUGGUGGUAGUUGAAGAAAAGAAGACGAAUUGGUCAGCUUUGAUCACACCGAUACUAGUACUACUCAUCUUGCUUUUGCUGUCACUGAUUGGAACUCCCAGGAGGGUUUAUGCAAAGCCAACGUGCUAUCGGUGGAAGAAAAAGAAGAACAGGAGAAGAAAGGAAAACAGCAUGGUUUCUUCAUGACUUGAAAAUUGAAAUGGCUGAAGCGUGACCUAUUACCUAAAGUUUGUCCCCACCGCAGCUCAACUAUUUUCUUUUGUAUCAGCCUGACUCAGUAUAAAGCGGUAGCUUUUAAGGGGAUUACGCAUCUUUGCGCAACCACCACACAGGGGAUGUAUUUGCAAAUUGCAAUUAACAAGCUUUUUCUUAUUAUAGUAUAACAUUCACUUUACUUAUAAUUAAAGUGUCAUUUAUUAUAUUUUUUCAUUACACUUACUUAUAAUUAAGAUGUAAUCACAUUUAUUUUUAAUAA